rnacentral:rRNA from 1 species
AUUGAACGCUGGCGGCAUGCCUUACACAUGCAAGUCGAACGGCAGCACGGGAGCAAUCCUGGUGGCGAGUGGCGAACGGGUGAGUAAUGUAUCGGAACGUGCCCAUACGUGGGGGAUAACGUAGCGAAAGCUACGCUAAUACCGCAUACGAUCUAUGGAUGAAAGCGGGGGAUCGCAAGACCUCGCGCGAUUGGAGCGGCCGAUAUCAGAUUAGGUAGUUGGUGGGGUAAAGGCUCACCAAGCCGACGAUCUGUAGCUGGUCUGAGAGGACGACCAGCCACACUGGGACUGAGACACGGCCCAGACUCCUACGGGAGGCAGCAGUGGGGAAUUUUGGACAAUGGGCGCAAGCCUGAUCCAGCAAUGCCGCGUGCAGGAUGAAGGCCUUCGGGUAGUAAACUGCUUUUGUACGGAACGAAACGGCGAGCUCUAAUACAGUUUGCUAAUGACGGUACCGUAAGAAUAAGCACCGGCUAACUACGUGCCAGCCGCCGCCGUAA